UACGUAGGGGGCAAGCGUUAUCCGGAUUUACUGGGUGUAAAGGGAGCGCAGACGGAACUGCAAGUCUGAUGUGAAAGCCCGGGGCUCAACCGCGGGACUGCAUCGGAUACUGUGGAUCUGGAGUGCCGGAGGGGCAAGCGGAACUCCUGGUGUAGCGGUGAAAUGCGUAGAUAUCAGGAGGAACACCGGCGGCGAAGGCGGCUUGCUGGACGGCAACUGACGUUGAGGCUCGAAAGCGUGGGGAGCAAACAGGAUUAGAUACCCU
rnacentral:rRNA from 1 species